rnacentral:tmRNA from 1 species
GGGGAUGACAGGCUUCGACGGGAGAGGCUGGUCCCGGAAUGCGAGCCGAGAGGCGCCGAUCUCGUUAACUCAGCGCAAAACCUCAAGUGCCAACCGCACUUCCUAUGCUGCUAUGCCCCUCGCCGCCUAAGGUGAGAGCCUAACAGUACGGUCUUCUUAGCAAGACCGCGUCCACCUGCCCCGAUCUCCGCCAGGGACAGGCCCGGGCGAGACAAACGCGGAGCGCUGCACGCCACACCGCUACACGUGCAAAAGACAUAGCGGCUAGACAACAGGCGGUUCCUGCCGGACGAGAUGCCUGUUGCGACCACUUUCGACCGACUACGCUCGUAGAUUUCCGAGGGUCGAAUCUUUCGGACGCGGGUUCGAUUCCCGCCAUCUCCACUA